UACGGGGGGGGCAAGCGUUGUUCGGAAUUACUGGGCGUAAAGGGCUCGUAGGCGGCCAACUAAGUCAGACGUGAAAUCCCUCGGCUUAACCGGGGAACUGCAUCUGAUACUGGAUGGCUUGAGUCGGAGAGGGAUGCGGAAUUCCAGGUGUAGCGGUGAAAUGCGUAGAUAUCUGGAGGAACACCGGUGGCGAAGGCGGCAUCCUGGACCGACACUGACGCUGAGAGCGAAAGCCAGGGGAGCAAGCGGG
rnacentral:rRNA from 1 species